rnacentral:rRNA from 1 species
UACGUAGGGGGCUAGCGUUGUCCGGAAUCAUUGGGCGUAAAGCGCGUGUAGGCGGCCCGGUAAGUCCGCUGUGAAAGUCGGGGGCUCAACCCUCGGAAGCCGGUGGAUACUGUCGGGCUCGAGUACGGAAGAGGCGAGUGGAAUUCCUGGUGUAGCGGUGGAAUGCGCAGAUAUCAGGAGGAACACCAAUGGCGAAGGCAGCUCGCUGGGACGGUACUGACGCUGAGGCGCGAAAGCGUGGGGAGCGAACAGG